UACGUAGGGUGCAAGCGUUGUCCGGAAUUAUUGGGCGUAAAGAGCUCGUAGGCGGUUUGUCACGUCGGAUGUGAAAACCCGAGGCUUAACCUCGGGCCUGCAGUGGGUACGGGCUGACUAGAGUGCGGUAGGGGAGACUGGAAUUCCUGGUGUAGCGGUGAAAUGCGCAGAUAUCAGGAGGAACACCGGUGGCGAAGGCGGGUCUCUGGGCCGUAACUGACGCUGAGGAGCGAAAGCGUGGGGAGCGAACAGG
rnacentral:rRNA from 1 species